UACGUAGGGGGCAAGCGUUGUCCGGAUUUAUUGGGCGUAAAGAGCGUGUAGGCGGCUUUACAGGUCCGUUGUGAAAACUCGAGGCUCAACCUCGAGACGCCGGUGGAAACCGUAAAGCUAGAGUCCGGAAGAGGAGAGUGGAAUUCCGUGGUGUAGCGGUGAAAUGCGCAGAUAUCAGGAAGAACACCCGUGGCGGAAGGCGGCUCUCUGGGACGGUACUGACGCUGAGACGCGGAAAGCGUGGGGGAGCGAACAGG
rnacentral:rRNA from 1 species